ACGCUCGACACCUACGGGAUGCAGCAGUCGGGAAUAUUGCGCAAUGGAGGAAACUCUGACGCAGUGACGCCGCGUAUGGGAAGAAGGUUUUCGGAUUGUAAACCAUUUUAGACAAGGAAGAAACAAGACAGUACUUGUAGAAUAAGCUCCGGCUAACUACGUGCCAGCAGCCGCGGUAAUCUGAGGCGGGCUGGCAAGGC
rnacentral:rRNA from 1 species